rnacentral:rRNA from 1 species
ACAUACGACCAUAAGGUGUGGAAAACAGGGCUUCCCGUCCGCUCAGCCGUACUUAAGCCACACGCCGGUGAGUUAGUAGUUGGGUGGGUGACCACCAGCGAAUCCUCACUGUUGUAUGUU